AUAACUUUUGAAAUUGUGAAAUCAAUAUUUUUUUUCUACCGUUUUGUACGGUUACGUAUUGUACCGUUUGGAAACGCAAAUGUCUACUUUACAAAUUGUGUGAAUAAUACCAUGAAUACCAUGAAUAAUACCAUGAAUAAUACCAUGGUUCAUUUGACACCAUACUUUAUUUUACACCAUCCGAGUCAAAAUCAAAAUAUUAACAAAUAACAAGUGUUAGUAAUCACAAAGUUGAAUGUUUAAAAAAAAUUAUAUUAAAAUAAAUUGACUAAGAGAGUCUCAGUAUAAUUACAAUGUUGGUAAAUUGUUACUUUUUUGUUUUUUUCGAAAAGGCACUAAAAAAAUACUAAGUAAUGUGGCAGGGAUAAGGACUACCUUUGCGAAAAACGAAAUCUGAAUGGAGAUGGUAUGCGAAGAAUGCGAUGAGUCUGAAAACACAAACAUUUUCAUGUGUACUCUGUGUUCUGAUUCAGGGUAAAACUAUUUUAUUUAUUUGGAUUUAACGUAUUUACAGAAUGAACUUGUGUUAUCAUCAUCUAAAGAAAGAUUUAACAAAGUUUCGUUACUAUCGAUUACGCAUUAGCUUAAGAACGAGUUGUGUACUGCCAACAGUUGGAAGUACACAACUUGUUCGUUACUGAGAACACACAAGUUCGUCGCAAGUUUGCUCGUCUGAGAACGGAAAAAAAUUUAGAAUUUCAACUUUAAAAAAUAUUAACUUUUAGCAAAUGCAUUAUAUUAGAGAUAAAGGUUCAAACAUACAAAUGAUUGAAGUUUGUUCCAUAUUUGGAAGUUGCUUAUCUUAAAAACAUGGUGCUGCCCUUGGCUAAAGCUAUAUUUUUUUUAAAACUGUAUGUUUUCAAACUUUUAAUAUGGUGUAAACUCGUAAAUAGAAUUCAAUAUUAAAAAAAGCUAUUUGCGUUUAGAGCGAUAAUCAUAUAAAACUUACAGUCCCCUCUUUUAAUUUUGUUUUUUCGUUUGUUUUUUUUCUAUUUUGGUUUGUUUUUUAACUUCUUUUAUUUUUGUUCCGAAGAUUCAAAAACAGCAAUUUUUUGUAACUGAUUCCUUAAAUAACUCCAGUGUGAAAAUACAAAAUCUUGCAUAA